AAAGAAAAAAUGAAUUAAAUAAAUAAACGAGCGAGGUGCAGUUCCGCCAGGAGCCGUGAGUGUGUGAGCGCGUGAAUGUGUGUGAGUGUGUGUGUGUGUCGUCUGUCUGAAACAUGAACCGCUUGCAUUAGACAUCAGGAGGGCGAUUUCAAACGGGGCAAAAAUCACCACCAACAUCAUCAUCAUCAUCCUUCUCUUCCACGGGGAAAACCUGUUCGCACGCGCCAGGGAGCAGGAAGAUCAAAUUAGGGUGGUGAAAUUAUUUGUGCAAGCAGCCUAUGAAGGGGAGGAAGGUGUAACACAUACACUAUAAUAGAGUGUGUGUUGUUUCCAUUAGUGGUAAUGAUCUUGUGUACUACUCUUAAUUAUCAGCACUAAAAACAUUCGAGGAAAACUGGAGCGUACAUGUCGUGAUCUGAGAAAAGCAUCGGGUUAUGCUUAUGGAUUAACAUAUGAUCUUAACUCAACCCAGGUCAAACCGCUCUUCUCUCCUCCCCUCUCCGUUUUUUCUCCUCCUCUCCCUCCCCUAUGCUCAGUUCGGUGUGUGUCUCCUCAUUCAAAGGGCGCAAGGGUGGGAACAAGUCGUCCAACAAAGCAUGUUACAGCGCCGACAUGACUUGCCCGUCGGAAAGCGAGAAAAUCGUCAUCAACUGCGGCGGCGUGAGGCACGAGACGUACCGGAGCACGCUGAAGACGCUUCCCGGGACGCGGCUGUCGUGGCUCACUGAGCCGGACGCCUUCAGCAACUUCGACUACGACGCAAAGUCAGACGAGUUCUUCUUCGACAGGCACCCGUCCGUCUUCUCGUUCAUCCUCAACUACUACCGGACGGGCAAGUUGCACUGCCCUAACGACGUGUGCGGCCCGCUGUUCGAGGAGGAGCUCGCCUUCUGGGGCAUCGAUGAGACCGAUGUGGAGGCGUGUUGCUGGAUGAACUACCGGCAGCACCGGGACGCGGAGGAGGCGCUGGACAGCUUUGAGACGCCCGAGCCGGAGGUACCGGACGAUGACCCUGCGCUCGCGGGGGACGGAGACCUGAAGCGGCUCUGCAUGCAGGAGGACAACAGGAAAGCGGGCUGGUGGCGCGUGUGGCGACCCCGGAUCUGGGCGCUCUUCGAGGACCCUUAUUCAUCCAAAUACGCGCGGUAUGUGGCGUUCGGAUCCCUGCUAUUCAUCCUCAUCUCCAUUUCCACCUUUUGCAUGGAGACGCACGAAGCAUUCAACACCAUCUACAACAAAACGGAGAACGUGACGGAAGGGAACGUGACGAAAGAGGAGAUCGUGUACGAGGUGGUCACGGACAGAUGGCUCACGUACGUGGAGGGAGUGUGUGUGAUCUGGUUCACCAUCGAGGUCUUCACGCGCGUCGUCUUCUGUCCCGACAAGGUGGAGUUCUUCAAGAGCGCGCUGAACAUCAUCGACUUCGUGGCCAUCUUGCCCUUCUACCUGGAGGUCGGUCUGAGCGGACUCUCCUCCAAAGCGGCUAAAGAUGUCCUGGGCUUCCUGCGCGUGGUGCGCUUCGUGCGAAUCCUGCGUAUCUUCAAGCUGACGCGUCACUUCGUGGGCUUGCGUGUCCUCGGACACACACUCCGCGCCAGCACCAAUGAGUUCCUCCUGCUCAUCAUCUUCCUCGCUCUCGGCGUCCUCAUCUUCGCCACUAUGAUCUACUACGCCGAAAGGAUAGGAGCCAGUCCGGACGACCCUACGGCGAGCCUGCACACCAGCUUCAAGAACAUCCCCAUUGGUUUCUGGUGGGCCGUGGUGACCAUGACCACUUUAGGCUAUGGAGACAUGUAUCCGGAGACGUGGUCGGGGAUGCUGGUGGGGGCGUUGUGUGCCCUCGCGGGGGUGCUGACUAUUGCCAUGCCCGUGCCCGUGAUUGUUAACAACUUCGGCAUGUAUUACUCUCUGGCCAUGGCCAAGCAGAAGCUGCCUAAAAAGAAGAACAAACACAUCCCGCGAGCCCCACAACCCGGCUCGCCCAAUUACUGCAAGCCGGACGCCCUGGCAAUGGCGACGGCCUCCCCCCAGAGGAUCCUGGGUAAUGUGCUGGGUGGCGUGCUGGGGUCGAGCGGGCUGGCGGGUGGACUGGCGGGAGGACUGGCGGGUGACUGUCCUCUAGCUCAGGAGGAGAUCAUAGAGAUUAACAGAGACUCGAAGCAGAACGGUGACGCAGCCAGUGCCGCUCUAGCGAACGAGGACUGUCCAACCAUCGAUCAGGUUCUCAGUCCGGACGAGCGCAGCCCGAUGGGCCGAACACAAGAACGCUACCAGCAGGACAGAGCCUGCUUCCUCCUCAACACGCGAGAGUUUCGACCCACUGAUGGGAACGUGCGGAAAGACAGACACUGGGAUAUUUGGACAGACUCACAGACAGACUGACGUAGAGCAGGCCGUCAGUGCAGCACCAGAGUUUCUAAUGCGUGACUAUGUGUUAAGUUUCUAGCAUUUGGCAAUUCUUUUAAGGAGACACAGUUAGUCGCUGAAUCCUGAAAACUUUGCAGAUGGGACCGCACCACCCAUACGGGACGUGUGAGGGAUGUCGGAGUGGCAAGAGGGUGUGACUGGAAACAAAAAAACAACAACAAAGGAAACUGGAAAUUUCCAAUGCCGAAUCUUCACACGGUAACCAAAGCAACCUCACCGAAAUUCCGGAUCACUCCUCUUUCUACAGACUGACUGACUUUACAGCAACAAAACCGAACAUUGCACUGACACCUGAAAGAGAAAAAAGACUCUUGAAGGAACGAACGGAAAAACAUUCCAAUGUUUUAAGAUCAAAACACCAGGCGUUUUGACUGCCGCACUCACCUGGGCCCUGAGUUUCUGUACAUUAGUCUAUAUGUAAGAAUGAAGGACCAAGUUAGAAUAAUUAUGUAGCAUUUCUGCUAAGACCCUGUAGCAUUUCUUGGCUGGGAGAACUCUCCGACAGACUUUUUACAGACUGAUAUCCAUCGACCGUUUGCACAGAAUGACUAAAAAUGACUUAGUCAUGCACAAUUUGUUCUUGUUUUCUUUCCCCCCACUCAGCAUAUUAGCAGCAAAGUGUGUUGUCCGUGUAUUGCCGUGUGGUAGUUCCCACUCCCCGUCCGAGAAAAGUCUGAGUCUUAGAGUAGCUUUUCUUUGUGAAUGAAUCUAGAGCGCUGAAAAGUGAAACGCAGCACUCUGCUUUGGUAACAGAUGUACGUUGCUAUUCCCAAACAGUCUUCCAGGUUUUUUCCCGUACGUUCGGGGGAGGCAACAUCAAAAACACAGUCCCGACAGACCAAAGCCCAACUGUGACCAAAUAAUGUACGAAAGCUAAAACGGCACAAAAUGACUUUAGAUGUUCCCUGUCAGAUCUGAACUUUUCGUCCCUUUAAAUAUGAACGGAUUGGCUGUUCUGCCAGGGGUGCUGUCUCUAAUUCCCAAAAACCCCUCAAAUUGAGGACUUUUCCCAUGGGAAUCCUCUCUGAUUAUAGAGGUUUAUUAUGUGAUUUAUUUUGUGAUUUAGUAUAGCUAAUGCUGCCAUAGAUUAUAUACAUGCACAUGUGAGUGCUUGGACCAAUAACUAGCGUUUUGUCUUCAUGGAAAGAGGGUAUAAAGGUCAGGGAAAUGCAGAGACAUUCUUAAAAUCUCCCUUUCUAAAAAAAAUCGUCUAUGUACGACUUGUCUAAAACUGCCUUCAGAGUUUCCCUCCAUCUCUGUCUCGUAUUCUCUCCUUUUGGCUUGACUGCGUUGUUCCUUCUUAACUAAUCAGAGGGAGCGCAGGAGGUCACGCCAAACGAAUCAAGAAUAAAUGUACAAAAAAAAAAGAACAAAUUUAUAUUUUGAUAAGUAACAUCUCCGUGGUUCACGAGGCAUGCGACGCCACCGAUGUUCGAAUGCGACUGUAAAAAUGCAAUGCCGUCCACCCUACGAACAACCGCAGCGACUUACACAAAAAAGAAUAGAGAAAAAAAGGUCGAAAGAAAAGAAUAUUAACGCGCUCUUUUGGAGGGAGAUAUGCUUCAUCAAAGAGAUCGUUUCCUCGUAGACUGAACUGUGAGAAAAUGGAUGUCAAAAUAUAUGAAAAAAGAAAAUCAAAUGAAAAAAAAAAUACUUGGAGAGAAAAAAAUAAUUUAAAAAAAUGCAUUUUUGUAACUUUGUUUACCAGCAUGAGACUUUGCAUGACUGUAUUUUCUGCUAGCCCUUAGUUGAAGUGGGGAGGGCUAAAAAAAAAAAAUUAAAAAAGAUAUUAAUAAUAAAGAUGUUAAUAAAAAUUAAAAACA